UUAAGGGCAAAAUUGUUCACAAUCUAUUGUUGGUCCACAACAAAGUGUGUCACAUAUAAGAAGUAUCUCUGGGUGUAAUAGAAAUUUAAUGUCUCUUAGUGUAAAGUUACACUUUUAUAUGAUUUAUCGGCUGGAUCAAUCGGUUUGGAAGAAAUCUAUCCACAUGUGCAUUUUUUAAAGUUUAUGGGACCCAUGUUCGGUUUAGUUUGGUUAUCAAGUCUUCGCGUUUGGUUUAAUAAUUUAGUUCCUUUGGUUCAUUAUUUCAGUUUCAGUCAUAUGUUUGGUGUUAUAUAACAAAACUCUGCGUUUUGAGUUGGCGUAGAUUAAUUAGGGUUUCAUUGUUAUGGUUGUUCGACUAUUCAACCUCGCCGCACCGUUAAUCUUAAGUCUCCAAACACAAAGAUUCCUUUCCGUUUCCUUCCUAUACAUCAAACCUACAAGUUGGAGCUCCUGCUUCUUGACGACCCUCCAGAUUAAGGGCAAACGCAAAGCAUCUUCGCUUGCUGAGGAUUCCAUCAAGUCUGCUCUCGAAAACUACAAAAAGAAGAAAGCAAUUGCUGAUGCAGCCGUGGCUUGAUUCUACUGAUGAUGGUUAUGAUUAAUUUCAUCUUUAAAAAAAAAAAAUUGUUGUGUUUGUGUGUGUCUUCCUUCUGUUUGCUUCCAGCAAGUAGCUCAUGAUGUUUAUUACCUAUUAUUGAAUUUGCGCUUUUUCUUUUGUGUGGAAACUUUGCAGUUUCAUUUCAUCACAUGACUAAACAUUUAGAGAAUAAUAUAUAUACAAAGUAUCUGGUUAGCCUGA